UUAGAAAAUUGCAUUAAAAAAUUCUAAAAGUUUCGAUAAUAUGACUCAAUUUCAUGUGAGUUUCACGUGAUAUUGAGCAACUACCGAACAUGCACUAGAAUGCGGUCAUAGGCAAAUACAGGUGCUGAAGGCGACACGAUUCUUUACCGGAAACUCGAAGUCUAGCCGUUUUUCAAGAAAAUAUAACAAAAUGUUGAAAUUACUUGCAUUAGAAGGUAGCAUCAAGUGUACAGCUAAUAUAAUAU